rnacentral:rRNA from 1 species
UCUCUUGAGAGCGGCGGACGGGUGAGUAAUGCCUAGGAAUCUGCCUGGUAGUGGGGGAUAACGUUCGGAAACGGACGCUAAUACCGCAUACGUCCUACGGGAGAAAGCAGGGGACCUUCGGGCCUUGCGCUAUCAGAUGAGCCUAGGUCGGAUUAGCUAGUUGGUGGGGUAAUGGCUCACCAAGGCGACGAUCCGUAACUGGUCUGAGAGGAUGAUCAGUCACACUGGAACUGAGACACGGUCCAGACUCCUACGGGAGGCAGCAGUGGGGAAUAUUGGACAAUGGGCGAAAGCCUGAUCCAGCCAUGCCGCGUGUGUGAAGAAGGUCUUCGGAUUGUAAAGCACUUUAAGUUGGGAGGAAGGGUUGUAGAUUAAUACUCUGCAAUUUUGACGUUACCGACAGAAUAAGCACCGGCUAACUCUGUGCCAGCAGCCGCGGUAAUACAGAGGGUGCAAGCGUUAAUCGGAAUUACUGGGCGUAAAGCGCGCGUAGGUGGUUUGUUAAGUUGGAUGUGAAAUCCCCGGGCUCAACCUGGGAACUGCAUUCAAAACUGACUGACUAGAGUAUGGUAGAGGGUGGUGGAAUUUCCUGUGUAGCGGUGAAAUGCGUAGAUAUAGGAAGGAACACCAGUGGCGAAGGCGACCACCUGGACUAAUACUGACACUGAGGUGCGAAAGCGUGGGGAGCAAACAGGAUUAGAUACCCUGGUAGUCCACGCCGUAAACGAUGUCAACUAGCCGUUGGAAGCCUUGAGCUUUUAGUGGCGCAGCUAACGCAUUAAGUUGACCGCCUGGGGGAG